UGAUGUUUGUAUAUAACUUAUUGAUUAUUUACAUCGCCUCUUACUUGCUUCAUUAUUAUUAGUAUUUAUUGUUGAGCAUUCACUUAUCUUACUUCACAUAAUCUGAGGAUUAUACACAAUAAGUUUAAAUUUUUAAAAAAUUGAAUUCACCCCUCUCUAGGAUUGCCUCUCUAAAUAAUAAGUGGUGUUAGAGCUUGAUACUUAGCCC
rnacentral:lncRNA from 1 species